AGUGAACGCUGGCGGUAGGCCUAACACAUGCAAGUCGAACGGCAGCACAGUAAGAGCUUGCUCUUACGGGUGGCGAGUGGCGGACGGGUGAGGAAUACAUCGGAAUCUACUUUUUCGUGGGGGAUAACGUGGGGAAACUUACGCUAAUACCGCAUACGACCUACGGGUGAAAGCAGGGGAUCUUCGGACCUUGCGCGAUUGAAUGAGCCGAUGUCGGAUUAGCUAGUUGGCGGGGUAAAGGCCCGCCAAGGCGACGAUCCGUAGCUGGUCUGAGAGGAUGAUCAGCCACACUGGAACUGAGACACGGUCCAGACUCCUACGGGAGGCAGCAGUGGGGAAUAUUGGACAAUGGGCGCAAGCCUGAUCCAGCCAUACCGCGUGGGUGAAGAAGGCCUUCGGGUUGUAAAGCCCUUUUGUUGGGAAAGAAAAGCAGCAGGUUAAUACCCCGCUGUUCUGACGGUACCCAAAGAAUAAGCACCGGCUAACUUCGUG
rnacentral:rRNA from 1 species